rnacentral:rRNA from 1 species
CAGUAGCCGCGGUAAAACGGAGGGCGCGAGCGUUACCCGGAUUUACUGGGCGUAAAGGGCGUGUAGGCGGCCUGGGGCGUCCCAUGUGAAAGGCCACGGCUCAACCGUGGAGGAGCGUGGGAUACGCUCAGGCUAGAGGGUGGGAGAGGGUGGUGGAAUUCCCGGAGUAGCGGUGAAAUGCGCAGAUACCGGGAGGAACGCCGAUGGCGAAGGCAGCCACCUGGUCCACUUCUGACGCUGAGGCGCGAAAGCGUGGGGAGCAAACCGGAUUAGAUACCCCCGUAGUCCCUGUCUCUUAUAC